UACAGAGGGUGCAAGCGUUAAUCGGAUUUACUGGGCGUAAAGCGUGCGUAGGCGGUUUGUUAAGUCGGUUGUGAAAGCCCUGGGCUUAACCUGGGAAUGGCAUUUGAGACUGCAUGGCUAGAGUGUGUCAGAGGGGGGUAGAAUUCCACGUGUAGCAGUGAAAUGCGUAGAGAUGUGGAGGAAUACCGAUGGCGAAGGCAGCCCCCUGGGAUAACACUGACGCUCAUGCACGAAAGCGUGGGGAGCAAACAGG
rnacentral:rRNA from 1 species